rnacentral:rRNA from 1 species
UACGGAGGAGGCAAGCGUUAUCCGGAAUUAUUGGGCGUAAAGCGUCCGUAGAUGGUCGUUUCAAGUCUGCUGUCAAAGACCGGGGCUUAACCCUGGAAAGGCCGUGGAAACUGAAUAGCUAGAGUGCAGUAGGGGUAGAGGGAAUUCCCGGUGUAGCGGUGAAAUGCGUAGAGCUCGGGAAGAACAUCGGUGGCGAAAGCGCUCUGCUGGACUGCAACUGACACUCAGGGACGAAAGCUAGGGGAGCGAAUGGG